rnacentral:lncRNA from 1 species
GUUUGGUGCCUAGAACUGCGUACGUCCUUGUUCUGAAUGCAGACCUCACGCGGGAGCCUCCGUUCACCUUUCCUUCCUUCUCCUCCACCCGCCCAGCUUGCCUUAGGCUUCCUUCUGGUGCAGUCUCUCAGCCACAAAGAUACAUCUGUUGUAGGCAUCCGUGGCUGAGUCCUCAUGUCCAUCCCGUUCUAGUCCGUCCUACACGCUGCACCAGAGGGAUAUUUCCAAAACGAAAACUUCAUCGUGGUCUUCACCUGCUCACAUCUCUUCUAUGGCUCCCCAUUACUCUGAUGAAAAAAGGCAAACUCUUUAGUCUGGUAUACAGGGCUUGCCAUUCUGCGGGCACUGUGUCUUUACACCGCAUGUCCCUAUGAACGCCCCCCACCAAGCUGUUUAGACAUACCCUCAGUGCCUUUUUACUUUCCCUUUCCUCUCUUCUCCACUUGGUAAACAUUUUUGUUUUAGGAAUCAGUUCAAAAGCUACCAACUUUGUCUUCUAAGUUCUCACGUUGGAGCAUCCAUGGCUUGGAAGAUGUGGCCGUCUGGAUUCUCACGUAUGGCAAGUUCAGGCUGGAGUUGAGUGGCCACUGCUGUUCGUAAGAUGGGGCAUCUGCUCUCCAGUUCACCGUAGUCCCUACACGCCCAAAUGACAGUGCUGCCCUAAGACACAGGAGCCCAUAGAGCUGAGGGAUGCCUGCACUGCCUCCUCCAGAGCAUGCUGCUGGUGCCCAGGGACCCUGAAAUUCCCUGCCACGUGACCCAAGCCUGCUUCCGGAGCCUGCAGAGACGUCUUUACAUCCUUCUUCUGUUAAGCUCUGUAUGAAGAAUGCUGCAUACACUUGGCCCCCUCCCUUUCGAAGCUGACAGACUUGCUGUUCGGUUGGCAGUCCACAAACGUCGCUCAGGUGAUGCCCAGAUGCUGUGCACCAUUGAGAUCCUGAGCCUAACCAAUGGAACAGGGGAGAGAUGACUACAUUCCAAAUUGCAAUAAGCAUGACAAGCCAAUGAGAAAGGGUGCCAUGGGGACACGGAAGAGAGACUGCCUUACUCAGCCUGGGCUCCCAGGAAGGCUUCCAAGAAGAAGGGAUAUUUGAGUGCUGUCUGGAAAGCUGAGCCGAGAGUUGGCAGGUGCGGAAAGGAAUCGGGUGUCAGGUUGAGGCCCCUUGAGGGUGUGGCUGGUGAAGAGGAGAGCACCUGCCCCACAUUCAUUGACUGUGCAGUAUGUAUCAGGGGCCAUGCAGGGUCCUCAGGAGACAGAGAUGGAAGGGCUAAGGAAGGAAUAUGUGGACAGAACUUUGGGUGACAUCCUACCCAGCAGCACACUUCAGAACUCCAUCCUGAUAAUUAAGCCUAAAUCUAAGUCAUUCUAGAAGAUCUCUAGAUCUUCUUUAAAAUAUCCUCUACAAUGUGCAGUAUCUAUUGAAAUUAAAUAUGUGCCUAUCCCAUGACCCAGAAAGUCCAUUUCUUGAUUUCAACUAUAGAGAAAAAACUUGUUCAAAUCACUUGCUGGUGUGAAAGGGUGUACAUUGCAGCACUAUUUGGAAAAAUGAAAAAAUUGGGGAUCAACCCAAAUAUUUACGCAUAGAUGAAUGGCUGUCAGAACUAGGCUAUAC